rnacentral:misc_RNA from 1 species
GGAAAAUGGAGUUAGGAGGUAAUGAGAAGUUGAACAAAUUCAUGAGUCAAUAUGGAAUCCCUAAAGAAACUGAUAUUGUGACCAAAUACAAUACGAAAUCUGCUUCUGUUUACCGUGAUAGGAUUCAAAAUCUGGCUGAGGGAAAACCUUGGCAGGAUCCACCUGUUGUGAAGGAAUCUGUAAAAGGUCCUAAUAGCAGCAGUAGCAGACCUCCGUUGAGUGGAAGUAGAAUUGGAAAUUCAGGUGGAAAUUCUGGUUGGGAUAAUUGGGAUAGUUUUGAUGAAGGUGGCGAUAGUAACAGUAGCAUGAGGAGAAAUCAGACGGUGGGUGAUUUUAGGAGUGGUGGAGGUAGUGAUGGUGGGCCUGCUAGGUCGAGGUCUACAGAUGAUGUUACAAUGGCGCAGUAUGAGGCGUCCGCUGCGAAUAAAGAUAAUUUUUUUGCUAGGAAAAUGGCUGAGAAUGACUCCCGGCCGGAGGGCCUUCCGCCCUCUCAGGGAGGGAAGUAUGUUGGAUUUGGAUCAAGUUCUGGCUCAAUGCCUAGGAAUAAUAAUAACAAUUCGCAAGGCGAUGUCUUUUCUGCUGUUACUCAGGGAUUU